AUGAAGCGGCUUUUGCCUCUCGGCCAGAGGAUCUGUUCGCAUACUUCAUCUGGGGGAAGAAUUACGCGACUAACCGAUGCAGGUUGUUUGGCGCACCGAGGGUGCUUGUUCACCAACGAGCGUCGAUCCCAAAGAAGUCUGUCAGACUCUGACUCCUGCCCAUUCUGCUCGGAAACUGAAUCAACUUCUCACAUGCUAUUACACUGCCCAACGGCCUUUGAGGUCUGGACGGUCGUCGACUCUCUAAACAUUGCUCCUGCUGAUUGCGCGACUAUACACAACCUGCGAAAUCCACAGCUUACAUGCAAGACCCGCAACACUGUAAUCAUGGCUAUCCUCUGGAGUAUCUGGAAAAGAAGGAACGCCAAAAUUUUCAAAAAUGAGGUGGAAUCAUUGGGAGCUGUUCUCCGUCAUGCAGCUCAAGAAAUCUUCUUUUGGUCAAGCAGAUGUGCUAAUGAGGCCCGGAAACAAACUCUGAUUGACUGGGGGAUUAUGUUGUCCCGACUGGAUGUAGCUUAG
rnacentral:rRNA from 1 species